UACGUAGGUGACAAGCGUUGUCCGGAUUUACUGGGCGUAAAGAGCGCGCAGGCGGUCGAUCAAGUCGAGUGUGAAAGCCCCCGGCUCAACUGGGGAGGGUCAUUCGAUACUGAUCGACUCGAAGGCAGGAGAGGGUAGUGGAAUUCCCGGUGUAGUGGUGAAAUGCGUAGAUAUUGGGAGGAACACCAGUGGCGAAGGCGGCUCGCUGGACCGGUUCUUGACGCUGAGGCGCGAAAGCUAGGGGAGCAAACGGG
rnacentral:rRNA from 1 species